CGUGCAAGGUAGCGUAAUCACUUGUCUUUUAAUUAAGGACCCGUAUGAAUGACAAAACGAGGGCUCAACUGUCUCCUUCUUUUAGUCAAUGAAAUUGAUCUUCCCGUGCAGAAGCGGGGAUUCAUUCAUAAGACGAGAAGACCCUAUGAAGCUUUAGACAAUCGGACAUACCCUGUUAAUACACCCCCAUAAAAGGGCCAAAACCUACCCACCCAUGUCCCCGUCUUAGGUUGGGGCGACCCCGGGGAACAAAAACCCCCCACGUGGAAUAGUAGCAUCCGCUAUCCACAACCGAGAGCCACAACUCCAAAAACCAGAACCUCUGACCACAAAUAUGACCCGGCAAUGCCGAUCAACGAACCAAGUUACUCUAGGGAUAACAGCGCAAUCCCCUUUUUAGAGGCCGCAUCAACAAGGGGGUUUACGACCUCGAUGUUGGAUCAGGACAUCCUA
rnacentral:rRNA from 1 species